rnacentral:rRNA from 1 species
AAUAGAUACCCGGGUAGUCCACGCCGUAAACGAUGAGUGCUAAGUGUUAGGGGGUUUCCGCCCCUUAGUGCUGCAGCUAACGCAUUAAGCACUCCGCCUGGGGAGUACGGUCGCAAGACUGAAACUCAAAGGAAUUGACGGGGGCCCGCACAAGCGGUGGAGCAUGUGGUUUAAUUCGAAGCAACGCGAAGAACCUUACCAGGUCUUAACAUCCCAUUGACCGCUAUGGAGACAUAGCUUUCCCUUCGGGGACAGUGGUGACAGGUGGUGCAUGGUUGUCGUCAGCUCGUGUCGUGAGAUGUUGGGUUAAGUCCCGCAACGAGCGCAACCCUUGUUCUUAGUUGCCAUCAUUUAGUUGGGCACUCUAAGGAGACUGCCGGUGACAAACCGGAGGAAGUGGGGAUGACGUCAAAUCAUCAUGCCCCUUAUGACCUGGGCUACACACGUGCUACAAUGGACGGUACAAACGGUUGCCAACCCGGCGAGGGGGUAGCUAGUCCGAUAAAAACCCGUUCUCAGUUCGGAUUGUAGGCUGCAACUCGCCUACA